UUUUCGAAGAACUUGAAGAAAAUCGAUGCAUAUUUCUAAUAUCAGUACCUUCUGAUCUAUCGGUUUAUUUGAAACGAAAAGUCCGCGUUUAGAUUUGAUUUUUAUCAAUGAUAAACUCAAUAAUCAUCUGAUAAGACCAGAAACGGAUAAUGUCACAUUGCCGAUUUCGCACCUCCCUCCAUCGUUAAACAAGCUUCGCCAACAACGCGAUCCGAGCAAACUCGUGGCAAAAACUGGCGAAGCGUGUUGAGUGAAGGUACACGAUCGGUGGUGCGAACAAUAUCGAACCUGACGGCGCCGCUUUUGACCGACCGCAUUUCGGGUCGGCGAAAAUUGAAUUUCCAACGUCAGGGAGCAUUUCGAUAUAGUCAAGAAACUGCUACGUCAUUUUGAUUCUCUUUCUGAAAGCAAUUCAAAAUUAAAUCCUAAAUAAUGCAUAUUUAAAGAAAAAAAAAUCUUUGAAGCUAUGUUACAAAAUAAUUAUACCUUUUUGGACAUAUCACUACGUUUGGAUUUGUUCGGUAGAUUGUUUAAUAAAAGAUUUACCGAAGAUUGGGGUUCAGUCAUUGAUCGAUACCAUUCCUCGUUCUGAUAUUUUGGAUAAGUACCUAUGUAUUACCGGAGACAGCAACUUUCUAUCGAUAUAAGAAGGAUCCUUUGGUCCCGUCAACCAAGUGACUAUUCCUCCAACUACAAUUACUAUAAGCGUACCCAAUCCGGAAAACCAAUGAUAGGACAAUAGGAAAGCUUGACUUAUAUUUCCUGGACACUGAGCGAGUGGUACCGGAAGCUUCUUAGGUACUAUGACACCAGCACUGAUCGAUAUAUUUGCUCCGAAACAUGCCCAACCAGCUAUUAAAAAUCCCACAACAGCACCUACG